rnacentral:misc_RNA from 1 species
AAUUCUCAAACCUUCAACUUUAUUGUUUGAAGGCUUUGGAUGUGGGAGUCUUUGCUGGACGCUCUCGAGUGGUCAGCUCUCCUUAAAUGCAUUAGCGGUUACUGAUUCCGCUACUUGGUGUUGAUAGUCUAUCUUACGCCCUGUAGUCGAAAUCAACUUAUGUAUCUGCUUCUAAUCGUCGCUCUUUUGUGACAAUUUAUUGACU